rnacentral:rRNA from 1 species
UUCCGGUUGAUCCUGCCGGAGACGACCGCUAUCAGGUUACGACUAAGCCAUGCGAGGCGCGAGGUGUAAGACCUCGCCGCACUGCUGAGUAACACGUAGUUAACCUGCCCUGAGGUGGGGGAUAAUCUCGCGAAAGUGAGGCUAAUACCCCAUAGCCAAAGGAUACUGGAAUGUUCCUUUGGCAAAACCUACGGGGCCUCAGGAUGGGACUGCGGCGUAUCAGAUUGUUGUCAGGGUAAACACCUGACAAGUCUAUAACGCGUAGGGGCUAUGAGAGUAGGAGCCUCCAGAUGCCCUCUGAGACAUGAGGGCAGGGCCUACGGGUCGCAGCAGGCGCGAAAACUUUCCAAUGCAUUAGCGUGUGAGAAGGGUAGCUUGAGUGGUGCAGCUUAGCUGCACCUUUUGCCAUGUCUAGAAUUGCUCUGACGACCGAAGGUCGUCUGUGCACUAGCGAGCAUGGCGAAUAAGGAGUGGGCAAUACGGGUGCCAGCCGCCGCGGUAAUACCCGAACUCCGAGUGGCCGUCUCGAUUAUUGGGCCUAGAGCGUCCGUAGCCGGCUCGGCAAGUCCCUGGUGAAAUCCGGCAGCUAACUGUCGGGCGUGCUGGGGAUACUACCGGGCUUGGGAACGGGAAAAGUGGGAGGUAUUCGGCGUGUAGGGGUUAAAUCCUUUAAUCCGCCGAGGACCACCUGUGGCGAAGGCGUCCCACUGGAACGUGUCCGACGGUGAGGGACGAAAGCUGGGGGAGCGAUUGGGAUUAGAUACCCCAGUAGUCCCAGCUGUAAACAAUGCCCGUUUGGUGUCGCAUGACUCAAGAGGUCUUGCGGUGCCGGAGCGUAGACGCGAGCCUGCUGCAUUCCAACGAGUCAGCAUGCGAGCGGCGCAAGUGUUAAACGGGCCGCCUGGGGAGUACGGUCGCAAGACUGAAACUUAAGGGAAUUGGCGGGAGAGCACACAAUGGGUGGAGGCUGCGGUUCAAUUGGAUUAAACGCCGGACAUCUUACCAGGGCCGACAGCAGGAUGAAGGUCAGCCUAACGGGUUUACCAGACAAGCUGAGAGGAGUUGCAUGGCCAUCGUCAGCUCGUACCUUGAGGCGUGCGGUUAAGUCCGUUAACGAGCGAGACCCACGCUGCCAGUUGCCACACCGUUCUGUUUCCAGAAAUGGGGCCAGUGCGGUAGCACUCUGGCAGGACCGCCUCCGAUAAGGAGGAGGAAGGAGUGGGCGACGGUAGGUCCGUAUGGCCCGGAUGCCCUGGGCUACACGCGGCCUACAAUGCGCAGGACAAUGCGAUGCAACGCCGAAAGGCGAAGCCAAUCGCCCAAACCUGCGCCCAGUUCAGAUUGAGGGCUGAAACUCGCCCUCAUGAAGCCGGAAUCCAUAGUAAGCGGGCGUCAUAAUCGCUCGCUGAAUAAGUCCCUGCUCUUUGCACACACCGCCCGUC